UACGUAGGGUGCAAGCGUUGUCCGGAAUUAUUGGGCGUAAAGAGCUCGUAGGCGGUUUGUCGCGUCUGCUGUGAAAACCCGAGGCUCAACCUCGGGCCUGCAGUGGGUACGGGCAGACUAGAGUGCGGUAGGGGAGAUUGGAAUUCCUGGUGUAGCGGUGGAAUGCGCAGAUAUCAGGAGGAACACCAAUGGCGAAGGCAGAUCUCUGGGCCGUAACUGACGCUGAGGAGCGAAAGCCAGGGGAGCAAACGGG
rnacentral:rRNA from 1 species